rnacentral:rRNA from 1 species
GCCUGGUGGCGAGUGGCGAACGGGUGAGUAAUAUAUCGGAACGUACCCAAGAGUGGGGGAUAACGUAGCGAAAGUUACGCUAAUACCGCAUACGAUCCAAGGAUGAAAGCAGGGGACCGCAAGGCCUUGUGCUCCUGGAGCGGCCGAUAUCUGAUUAGCUAGUUGGUGAGGUAAAGGCUCACCAAGGCGACGAUCAGUAGCUGGUCUGAGAGGACGACCAGCCACACUGGAACUGAGACACGGUCCAGACUCCUACGGGAGGCAGCAGUGGGGAAUUUUGGACAAUGGGCGCAAGCCUGAUCCAGCAAUGCCGCGUGAGUGAAGAAGGCCUUCGGGUUGUAAAGCUCUUUUGUCAGGGAAGAAACGGCAGUGGCUAAUAUCCAUUGCUAAUGACGGUACCUGAAGAAUAAGCACCGGCUAACUACGUGCCAGCAGCCGCGGUAAUACGUAGGGUGCAAGCGUUAAUCGGAAUUACUGGGCGUAAAGCGUGCGCAGGCGGUUUUGUAAGUCUGUCGUGAAAGCCCCGGGCUCAACCUGGGAAUUGCGAUGGAGACUGCAAGGCUUGAAUCUGGCAGAGGGGGGUAGAAUUCCACGUGUAGCAGUGAAAUGCGUAGAGAUGUGGAGGAACACCGAUGGCGAAGGCAGCCCCCUGGGUCAAGAUUGACGCUCAUGCACGAAAGCGUGGGGAGCAAACAGGAUUAGAUACCCUGGUAGUCCACGCCCUAAACGAUGUCUACUAGUUGUCGGGUUUUAAUUAACUUGGUAACGCAGCUAACGCGUGAAGUAGACCGCCUGGGGAGUACGGUCGCAAGAUUAAAACUCAAAGGAAUUG